CCAGUCGGCCGGGUGAUUGCUGCCGCAAGUUCCGAAAGGACGCGGUGGAGGAAAGUCCGGGCUCCAUGGAAACACGAUGCCGGAUAACGUCCGGCUGGAAAGGCUUCACAGUCUUUUCAAGGGAAAGUGCCACAGAAACAAACCGCUUUGCCUGCACCUGGUGCAGACAAAGCAAGGGUGAAAAGGUGGGGUAAGAGCCCACCGCGAUGAUUGGCAACAAUCACGGCCAGGUAAACCCCAUCGGGAGCAAGACCGAAUAGGGACAACGGGAAUGCAGCAAUGCAUUCGGCCAGUUUUCAGGUUGGUUGUCCGGGUUGGUUGCGUCGAGGUGUCAGGCAACUGUCAUCCCAGAUGAAUGAUCACCACGCCGGCGGUUUCGGCCCCGGCCAUACAGAACCCGGCUUACAGGCCGGCUGGCACC
rnacentral:RNase_P_RNA from 1 species